UUUAAUUUACAUUUUUGAGUAUGCAAAAACAGUAACAUGGCUGAGAACUCAAAAACUAUAUAGAAAGGUAUACAUUUCCUUUCCUUCUGCUCUCUUCCCAUCUACUCCCUAUAGGUAACCAUGAUCAUCGGUUUCUGGUGUAUCCUUCCCAUGUUUCUCUUUGCAAAAAUAAAUUAUUAAUAUAUUAUCUUCUUUUGUAUAUGAAAGAAGUAUACUAUGUAUAUUCUUGCAUCUUGCUUUUAUUCCAUUUUUUAUUUUAUUAUUUUAUUUUAUUUUAUUUUAUUUUAUUGCUGUUGAAACAGAGUCUCACUCUAUCACACCACUGCACUCCCACUGGGUGACAGAGUAAGACUGUCUCAAAAAAAAAAAAAAAAAAAAAAAAGAUAUGCUACCUUAGAGUGAAUUGUUUCACUUUUUUAAAAAACUAACUUUGGUCAUUAGGUAUUUUAAGGGUCAUAAACUUUAAAAGCUAAUUCUUCUCUAUAAUUUAUGUCCUUAUAUGCCUUAGUUGGCAAAAUAUAAAAUACGCCUACAGCACACUAAAUUCUCUGGGGAACAAAUUCUGCACACUCUAGGCACUGAAAAAACAUACAUAGUGUAAUAGAAAUAAGCCUGGAUUAGAGUCAGGAUAGUCUUCUGGGAGAUACUUGCAGUCUGAAGUCACUUAAACUUCCCAACAUGAGGAGUUUUUUAGAUCAUC
rnacentral:sRNA from 1 species